rnacentral:rRNA from 1 species
GAUGAACGCUGGCGGCGUGUCUAAUACAUGCAGGUCGAGCGAACGGACGAGAAGCUUGCUUCUCUGAUGUUAGCGGCGGACGGGUGAGUAACACGUGGAUAACCUACCUAUAAGACUGGGAUAACUUCGGGAAACCGGAGCUAAUACCGGAUAAUAUUUUGAACCGCAUGGUUCAAAAGUGAAAGACGGUCUUGCUGUCACUUAUAGAUGGAUCCGCGCUGCAUUAGCUAGUUGGUAAGGUAACGGCUUACCAAGGCAACGAUGCAUAGCCGACCUGAGAGGGUGAUCGGCCACACUGGAACUGAGACACGGUCCAGACUCCUACGGGAGGCAGCAGUAGGGAAUCUUCCGCAAUGGGCGAAAGCCUGACGGAGCAACGCCGCGUGAGUGAUGAAGGUCUUCGGAUCGUAAAACUCUGUUAUUAGGGAAGAACAUAUGUGUAAGUAACUGUGCACAUCUUGACGGUACCUAAUCAGAAAGCCACGGCUAACUACGUG